CAGUAGCCGCGGUAAGACGGAGGGUGCUAGCGUUGUUCGGAAUCACUGGGCGUAAAGGGCGCGUAGGCGGCCUGUUAAGUCGGAUGUGAAAGCCCGGGGCUCAACCCCGGAACUGCAUCCGAGACUGGCAGGCUUGAGACCGGGAGAGGAGGGUGGAAUAUCCAGUGUAGAGGUGAAAUUCGUAGAUAUUGGAUGGAACACCGGUGGCGAAAGCGGCUCUCUGGCCCGGAUCUGACGCUGAGGCGCGAAAGCGUGGGGAGCAAACAGGAUUAGAUACCCCUGUAGUCCCUGUCUCUUAUAA
rnacentral:rRNA from 1 species